AAAAUAUACAGAUAUAUUUAUAUUAUCAAAAAGUCCCCAAAUUGGGGAAGGGGCAUCAGGUAGUCUGGACCCCCCACUCAGCCCAGACUGGAAGGAAGGCUGAAGUCCCCAAAGCGCAGCUCUCAGCCCUGUAGAAGCUCAGCCAAGAGCUCCCUCCCCGUGAGCUGAGUGCUCCUCUACAGCACCCGCUUUCUGCUGUUCUGGAGUUUGUUGGGAGGAGCAGGGGGCUCCCUUCCGGCAGGGCCCCAGGGCCUCACGCCUCUGAAAGGGUGGUGGUCCUCCCAAGUUCCUGACUUAUGCCCAUCUCUCCAGCCCCACAAGGACAGUGAACCCGGUGGGGUGAGCAGGAUGGGCAGCACCUUCUCCGCAAAGUGCAGGGGGCGCUCUG
ensembl:lncRNA ARAP1-AS1 ARAP1 antisense RNA 1